rnacentral:rRNA from 1 species
GAUGAACGCUAGCGGCAGGCUUAAUACAUGCAAGUCGAGGGACAGCACAGGUAGCAAUACUGGGUGGUAACCGGCAAGCGGGUGCGGAACACGUACACAACCUUCCUUUAAGUGGGGGAUAGCCCAGAGAAGUUUGGAUUAAUACCCCGUAAUAUAGUUGAAUGGCAUCAUUUGAUUAUUAUAGCUACGGCGCUUAAUGAUGGGUGUGCGGCUGAUUAGAUAGUUGGCGGGAUAACGGCCCACCAAGUCUACGAUCAGUAGCUGAUGUGAGAGCAUGAUCAGCCACACGGGCACUGAGACACGGGCCCGACUCCUACGGGAGGCAGCAGUAAGGAAUAUUGGUCAAUGGACGCAAGUCUGAACCAGCCAUGCCGCGUGAAGGAUUAAGGUCCUCUGGAUUGUAAACUUCUUUUAUUUGGGACGAAAAAGGGCCUUUCUAGGUCAACUGACGGUACCAGAUGAAUAAGCACCGGCUAACUCCGUGCCAGCCGCCGCCGUAAGAC